AUUGAACGCUGGCGGCAGGCUUAACACAUGCAAGUCGAGCGAGAGGAGGAAGGGUGAGUAAUGUCUGGGAAACUGCCUGAUGGAGGGGGAUAACUACUGGAAACGGUAGCUAAUACCGCAUACCAUCAGAUGUGCCCAGAUGGGAUGAGCUAGUAGGUGGGGUAACGGCGCACCUAGGCGACGAUCCCUAGCUGGUCUGAGAGGAUGACCAGCCAACCUGGAACUGAGACACGGUCCAGACUCCUACGGGAGUAAGCAGUGGGUAAUAUUCCAGAAUGGGCGCAAUCCUGAUGAAGCCAUGCCGCGUGUGUGAAGAAGGCCUUCGGGUUGUAAAGCACUUUCAGCGGGGAGGCGUUACCCGCAGAAGAAGCACCGGCUAACUCCGUGCCAGCAGCCGCGGUAAUUC
rnacentral:rRNA from 1 species